rnacentral:rRNA from 1 species
AGGGCGCACGGUGGAUGCCUUGGCACUAGGAGCCGACGAAGGACGUGACAAACGACGAUAUACCUUGGGUAGCUGUAAGUAAGCGAUGAUCCAGGGAUUUCCGAAUGGGGGAACCCAACAGGUAAUACCUGUUACCCACAUCUGUUAAGGAUGUGAGGAGGAAGACGCAGUGAACUGAAACAUCUAAGUAGCUGCAGGAAGAGAAAGCAAAAGCGAUUGCCUUAGUAGCGGCGAGCGAAACGGCAGAAGGGCAAACCGAAGAGUUUACUCUUCGGGGUUGUAGGACUGCAAUGUGGACUCAAAGAUUAUAGAAGAAUGAUUUGGGAAGAUCAGCCAAAGAGAGUAAUAGCCUCGUAUUUAAAAUAGUCUUUGUACCUAGCAGUAUCCUGAGUACGGCGGGACACGUGAAAUCCCGUCGGAAUCUGGGAGGACCAUCUCCCAACCCUAAAUACUCCCUAGUGACCGAUAGUGAACCAGUACCGUGAGGGAAAGGUGAAAAGCACCCCGGGAGGGGAGUGAAAUAGAACCUGAAACCGUGUGCCUACAACAAGUUCGAGCCCGUUAAUGGGUGAGAGCGUGCCCUUUGUAGAAUGAACCGGCGAGUUACGUUAUGAUGCGAGGUUAAGUUGAAGAGACGGAGCCGUAGGGAAACCGAGUCUGAACAGGGCGAAUUAGUAUCAUGACGUAGACCCGAAACCAUGUGACCUACCCAUGAGCAGGUUGAAGGUGCGGUAAGACGCACUGGAGGACCGAACCAGGGCACGUUGAAAAGUGCUUGGAUGACUUGUGGGUAGCGGAGAAAUUCCAAACGAACUUGGAGAUAGCUGGUUCUCUCCGAAAUAGCUUUAGGGCUAGCGUCGACAUUAGAGAUUCUUGGAGGUAGAGCACUGUUUGGGUGAGGGGUCCAUCCCGGAUUACCAAUCUCAGAUAAACUCCGAAUGCCAAUGAAUUAUGGUCGGCAGUCAGACUGCGAGUGCUAAGAUCCGUAGUCGAAAGGGAAACAGCCCAGACCACCAGCUAAGGUCCCAAAAUAAUUGUUAAGUGGAAAAGGAUGUGGGGUUGCACAGACAACUAGGAUGUUAGCUUAGAAGCAGCUAUUCAUUCAAAGAGUGCGUAAUAGCUCACUAGUCGAGUGACCCUGCGCCGAAAAUGUACCGGGGCUAAAACAAUUUACCGAAGCUGUGGAUACCUUUAUAGGUAUGGUAGGAGAGCGUUCUAUGUGUGAUGAAGGUAUACCGUGAGGAGUGCUGGAACGCAUAGAAGUGAGAAUGCCGGUAUGAGUAGCGAAAGACAGGUGAGAAUCCUGUCCACCGUAAGACUAAGGUUUCCAGGGGAAGGCUCGUCCGCCCUGGGUUAGUCGGGACCUAAGGAGAGACCGAAAGGUGUAUCCGAUGGACAACAGGUUGAUAUUCCUGUACUAGAGUAUGUAGUGAUGGAGGGACGCAGUAGGCUAACUAAAGCAGACGAUUGGAAGAGUCUGUCUAAGCAGUGAGGUGUGAAUUGAGUCAAAUGCUUAAUUCUAUAACAUUGAGCUGUGAUGGGGAGCGAAGUUUAGUAGCGAAGUUAGUGACGUCACACUGCCAAGAAAAGCUUCUAGCGUUUAAACAUACUCUACCCGUACCGCAAACCGACACAGGUAGUCGAGGCGAGUAGCCUCAGGUGAGCGAGAGAACUCUCGUUAAGGAACUCGGCAAAAUGACCCCGUAACUUCGGGAGAAGGGGUGCUGACUUUAGGUCAGCCGCAGUGAAUAGGCCCAAGCAACUGUUUAUCAAAAACACAGCUCUCUGCUAAAUCGUAAGAUGAUGUAUAGGGGGUGACGCCUGCCCGGUGCUGGAAGGUUAAGAGGAGUGCUUAGCGUAAGCGAAGGUAUGAAUUGAAGCCCCAGUAAACGGCGGCCGUAACUAUAACGGUCCUAAGGUAGCGAAAUUCCUUGUCGGGUAAGUUCCGACCCGCACGAAAGGCGUAAUGAUUUGGGCACUGUCUCAACGAGAGACUCGGUGAAAUUUUAGUACCUGUGAAGAUGCAGGUUACCCGCGACAGGACGGAAAGACCCCAUGGAGCUUUACUGCAGUUUGAUAUUGAGUGUCUGUACCACAUGUACAGGAUAGGUAGGAGUCUAAGAGAUCGGGACGCCAGUUUCGAAGGAGACGCUGUUGGGAUACUACCCUUGUGUUAUGGCCACUCUAACCCAGAUAGGUGAUCCCUAUCGGAGACAGU